UACGUAGGCAGCGAGCGUUGUUCGGAAUUACUGGGCGUAAAGAGUGUGUAGGUGGUGCUCCAAGUCUGUUGUGAAAUCUCCCGGCUUAACUGGGAGGGUGCAGCGGAAACUGGAAUGCUUGAGGAUGGGAGAGGAAAGCGGAAUUCCUGGUGUAGCGGUGAAAUGCGUAGAUAUCAGGAGGAACACCCGUGGUGUAGACAGCUUUCUGGACCAUAUCUGACACUGAGACACGAAAGCGUGGGUAGCAAACAGG
rnacentral:rRNA from 1 species